UAGUAAAUUAUUAGUAAUAAUAGACAAAGAGUUUAUUUACGAAUUCAUCUUCAUGUGCAUUCAUUGUUUAAGCAUAUUUUAAUUAUGAUUUCAUUAUUCAUUUUAGGAACGGCGCGCAAGACUUAAUUAUUUAAUUGCAAGUUUUGCUCAAGAAAUGUUAAGGAGAUGACUCGGGCGAUGAGAGGCGGGGCGAGUGAUGGUCAAGAUAAAGAAGAAAUAAUAUUUUAUUUUCAAUUAGAAUAAAGACUCAAUUUAUGAUGUUUAAUCACAUUUCUCAGUUGGAUUUGAAUUUUAGUUAUUUAAGUAUUAAAAUCUUAUUUAUGUUAUUCAAAGUGCAUUUUAUUA